AGUGAACGCUGGCGGCGUGCCUAAUACAUGCAAGUCGAACGGAGAUUGAGUAGCUUGCUAUUUAAUCUUAGUGGCGCACGUGUGAGUAAUAUAUAGCUAACUUGCCCAUUACUCAGGGACAACAGUUGGAAACGACUGCUAAUACCUUAUACUCCGUAUCUAUAUACGUAGAUACGGGAAAGUUUUUCGGUAAUGGAUAGGGCUAUAUCGUAUCAGCUAGUUGGUAAGGUAAUGGCUUACCAAGGCUAUGACGCGUAACUGGUCUGAGAGGAUGAUCAGUCACAUCGGAACGGAGACAUGGUCCCGAACACAACGCGAAGAAGCAGUAGGGAAAACUGGUAACAGGGCCAAACCACUAAGGAGCUACGGCGCGUAGAAGAUGACAGUUUUCGCAGUGUUACCCCCUUUUCAUCGGACAGAAUUAUGACGGCACCCAAGGAGUAAGCACCGGCCAACGGCGUG
rnacentral:rRNA from 1 species